GCAUCCACCCAGGCCAGGACUGCACUUACUUACGGGAAGGAGCAUUUGCAAGAAUCAUUAGAUGGAACCUGGGAACUGGAAGACGACGAAGAAGAAGUGUGGGAAUCCGGCGGCAAUGGCUGGGAUGACUGAACUUACGGGAAUGAGUGCUUCGGAGAUGGGAGACGAAGAAGAAGAAGCCGCUGAAUCCGGCGGCAAUGGCUGGGAUGCUGCGUUCUCGAGAAGAAGCGUUAUUUCUGCAUUCCAAGAAGGACGGCACAAUGUGUCGGACUGUCCGCGUCGCAUUGAACUGGUCCGAUGAGGCUGCUAUUGCACACACAAUGAGGAACUCCCAUACGGGAACUCGGAAGUACUGCUACAGUACAGGUAUUUCAUCUUGUGACGACCACAUCGAAGUCUGAAUUUGAAGUGUGAAGAUGCUUCAGCAACCCC